ensembl:snoRNA small nucleolar RNA SNORA67
ACCCAAGGAUCAAAUUCCUAAUAUCAGUUUGAGUAACUGAUACCAAAGUCUUCAUAUUUAUAAAACGCUUCAGGAAAGUAGCAACUUGGAAUAGAAUCUGGCAUGCCUCAGGUUUUCAGGGGAGGUGAUACAUCAUUUCCUUGGCCUUCCUUUGGCUGCCUACAUGU